GACGUAGGGCGCGAGCGUUGUUCGGAUUUAUUGGGCGUAAAGAGCUAGUAGGCGGCUCGUUGCGUCGGCUGUGAAAACCCGCAGCUCAACUGUGGGCUUGCAGCUGAUACGGGCGGGCUUGGAUUCGGUAGGGGAGACUGGAAUUCCUGGUGUAGCGGUGAAAUGCGCAGAUAUCAGGAGGAACACCGGCGGCGAAGGCGGGUCUCUGGGCCGAUAUCGACGCUGAGGAGCGAAAGCGUGGGGAGCGAACAGG
rnacentral:rRNA from 1 species